CCUGGGAACGAGCGCGAGCGCGCGGCAGGGACGGAACUCGCGGGGCCUCACAGCCGCCCAGAAACGCCAGAACGCGCGCGCGCGAGCUUGGGAGCGCUUCCGGCCUCGAGGCCGCGGUCGUUGGUCACGUGCCCAUGUGAUUGACUCCAACAAAACUGAACUCUGGUGCUCAGGUGGAUUUCUCUCAUUUCUCAACAAUCAUUGCUGAAGAAAUUUAGCACGUGUGACUCUAUUGAGAGAAGACUCUUGGAAGCUCAUACCCAUUUCCUCCGGACUUCACUCCAUGAACUCCUUCUCUUUAAUGACUUUGGGCUUCACAGCCUUUUAUUGUAAUAAAUCAUAGCUAUGAAUAUAACUA